ensembl:lncRNA
CGUCAGAUAUGUUUGUUUAGAGAGAGCUGCGGGGUCAGGACGACUUUAGGCAGCCUGUUUGCUGAUGGAUGGAGCUGCCUUCCCGUCCUGUUGGUUGUUGGGCCUGAAGGGUUCCGCACCGGAGCCUAAGUAAGUGCUGUGGGUGCCCGCCAGGUCUCAGCGCCCAAACGGUGGUCUGCGGAGAGCUCACGCUGAGGAGCCUUCCCCGUCGCUCGACCACCAGUGUCUGCUCGUGCCUUCCCAGGAUACCCUCAAAGACCUGAGGUGGCGCUAGUGGUAAACAACCCACUGCCAGAGCAGGAGACAUAAGAGAUGUGGGUUCGAUCCCUGGGUUGGAAAGAUCCCCCUGGAGGAGGACACAGCAACCCACUCCAGUAUUGCCUGGAGAAUCCCAUGGACAGAGGAGCCUGGUGGGCUACAUAGUGCUGCAAAAAGUUAGACUCAACUGAGUUGAUUUAGCUCCUGAGGUUGUAUUUUAGAUUCCACCUAGAAGUGUUAUCUGGGAUUGGUGAUGGACAGGGAGGCCUGGCGUGCUGCGAUUCAUGGGGUUGAAAAGAGUCGGACACGACUGAUCGACUGAACUGAACUGAACUGAGAAGUGUUAUUAUAUGAAAUUUGUCUUUCUCUGUCUGACUUCUUCACUUAGUAUGAUCAUCUCUAGGUCCAUCCAUGUCGAUGCAGAUGGCAUUAUUUUGUUCUUUUUGAUGGCUGAGUAAUAUUCCAUUGUAUCUAUGUACUACAUCUUCUUUAUUUCUUAAAAUAAAGCAUAUAGGAACUCAAAGA